UUCUUCGAGAUAUUUCUACAUGUUUAAUUUCAAGCCUCAGAAUAUCAGAAUAUUCUCUUGCGAUGUGGCAGACAGUUUCUCAGUCUAUCAGAAUCUCCACAAAGUGGAACAUGAUGUUCUGAUUGGCUGGAAAACGUCAGCAGUUUAUAUGUGCCUAUUGUAUUAUUCUGUAUUCCAAUUUCAACUAUAGCGAUUUGAUUUUAAUGUUGUGUAUGGUUGCGAUGUACAUAUAUGCCAAAGCAUUUGAAGAAAUGUAUUGAUAACCAUCUAAAGAAUAUUUUAUCUUAAAGGUGGUCUGUUUUGCCUUAACACCGCGCGGAAAUGAUAUCGAAUUGGAGAACGAUGUUGCUGAAUUCAGAAAAAAUAAAACGGUGAAUGUGAGAAUAAGGGUAUGAUAUUGGGAUUGAAAUUGAUCGGCGAAAAGUAUUCGUUUUGGAACAUGAUGAUACUACACAUCUAAAGAGCAGCUAGCAGCUGAACUAAGAGAAGCAGUCAAAGUUAAAUAUUCCGAGAGUUUCAUAUCAUUGUGACAUGACUGUUUUUGAUGCGGUGGAAUAAAACCUAUUUUCUGAGGCUGUGAAUUCAUAAGGAAAUGCUACCUACGUCUUGGAUUAUCUGACGUAGAAUGAUGAUACCAAAAUAUGAUGAACUUCUCGCUGGAAAUGUAUAAAUAUUCAGAACCUCACGUUGUAAGGUAUUGAUCCCUGGGAGUACCUCUUUUCGAUUCAAAUCUAAACGCCGUCAUUAAAAACUCAUGCCAGUGUUCGAAGAAGAUCUAUUUGAAGAUUGUUAUCCACGCCUACACCUACAGUGACAGAGACACCAACACGAGGAUCCUGAAAUUCUCAGUAUUGGAUAAAACACGUGAAUAUUUAUUUUAUAACAUGUGAAGAUAAUGCGAUAUGCAAUCAUAACUAGAUUCGAAUGUAAUGAAAAUGAUUGAAACCUACGUAAUACUCGUAAAAAAAAAACGAUCUAUAGAAUGCCUUUUGGCUUUUGUGACCUCCUAUUCAUCACUACUUGGAUUUCCAGUUCGACAAUGAACGAUCGAAACAACAAAUGGAUUCCUCAGUGAGGCAAAUGAUAAAGAAUUAAAUCGAAGAGGAAAACUACGAAAUGUUUCACAGAAUGCAUAAAGCAGAUUCGAAAACAUCGACUUUGAUCUAGACCAGAGCUGAACCUCAAUCAUUUUUGGAUUUCUUUCAAACCUAUACAGUUGAGAGAUCUAUAAUUUUCAAUUAUUGAUGCCAUGCUGGAUGGAUUAAAUCAUGAAAAUUCGUAUAACAUAGCUUUAAAGGCAUACUUAUAAUUUUCUGGAUAUUAUACGGUUCAAAAAAUCUAUAGAUAAUCAACGUUUUAUUCAUAAUAUGUGAUAUUUUUGCCUUUUUCUCCUAAAAUUCAUCCCUUAAGCAUUCAAAACGACCUACUUUUUGCUUGAACGCUUGAAUUCUUGAUUAAUAAUGGUGUUUUACUUGUUGUUUUGUAUGGAAGAAGAUCACAACUUACCUUCUGCAAUUUUUUUUUGCAGUUAUGAAAGAAAAGAAAACUGCAAAAAUGCUUAGAUUUAUUACUCUGUAUGAUUCGGUUUACAUAUCGUUGAUUCUUUUCCUCCCUUAACUAUCAUUUUGUCGCUUGAACAGAGGCUUGUUUUGUCGGUAUCUUUGCCCAUUUGGUAAAAAUACUCACAAAACAUGCUUUUUAGCCUACUUACGAGAAAAAUUACGAGUUUUAAUAUCUAGUCCAAUAGUAGAGAUUUUUCUCUUAUAUAUUUUUCAUGCUCAUUAACCAAAUAAAGCAUCAUUAUUUUAAUUUGUAUUGUGUUGAAAUAUACUCAUUUAUCAUGCGUGUACUAUUAGUAUUAUUUAUCGGCAUUUUAAGAACCUAUUUUAUCUUUCAACUCUGAAAAAUUGAAGGGUGAUUGCGUAACAAUUUGUAGUCGAUACCUACCAAAUAAAUACUCACACAUGUAUAAAAAUAGCUCAUUUCAUAUAAACCGUUGUUAUAGAAGGUAAAAUUAUCAGUCGAAUAAUUAAAUUUUCCUAAUUUUUGUUAUCAAGAAACAAAAGACCAGAGGUAAUUAUAAUUCAACUGCAGGCCUAACUAAGUACAUAGAUAUAACUCUUUUUAUAAUCAUGGAGGGUAUUUCAAGAUGCUAAAAAUUUGUAUUGUAAUCUAAUCUUUCAAAAUGUGUGAAAAGUUGUGCUCGGUGAAUGUGCAAAGAUACAUUUUUUUUUUAUUAAAUAAAAAUUUAUGCUGUAGGUAGGUAUUCUGUAAAAAAAAAGUAUAUAUUAC